GCAUCUAUAAUAGCUAAGUGGUCGAAAGCAAUAGACUCAUAAUCUAUUUUUUAAUAAAAUUUAUAAAACAACAAUGGUUCAAAUCCAUUUAGAUGCA
rnacentral:tRNA from 1 species